rnacentral:rRNA from 1 species
GACGAACGCUGGCGGCGUGCUUAACACAUGCAAGUCGAACGGUAAGGCCCUUUCGGGGGUACACGCGUGGCGAACGGGUGAGUAACACGUGGGUGAUCUGCCCUGCACUUUGGGAUAAGCCUGGGAAACUGGGUCUAAUACCGGAUAGGACUACGCGAUGCAUGUCGUGUGGUGGAAAGCUUUUGCGGUGUGGGAUGGGUCCGCGGCCUAUCAGCUUGUUGGUGGGGUGAUGGCCUACCAAGGCGACGACGGGUAGCCGGCCUGAGAGGGUGUCCGGCCACACUGGGACUGAGAUACGGCCCAGACUCCUACGGGAGGCAGCAGUGGGGAAUAUUGCACAAUGGGCGCAAGCCUGAUGCAGCGACGCCGCGUGGGGGAUGACGGCCUUCGGGUUGUAAACCCCUUUCAGCACAGACGAAGCGUAAGUGACGGUAUGUGCAGAAGAAGCACCGGCCAACUACGUG